GACGUAGGGCGCGAGCGUUGUCCGGAUUUAUUGGGCGUAAAGAGCUCGUAGGCGGCUUGUCGCGUCGACUGUGAAAUCCCGCGGCUCAACUGCGGGUCUGCAGUCGAUACGGGCAGGCUAGAGUUCGGUAGGGGAGACUGGAAUUCCUGGUGUAGCGGUGAAAUGCGCAGAUAUCAGGAGGAACACCGGUGGCGAAGGCGGGUCUCUGGGCCGAUGACUGACGCUGAGGAGCGAAAGCGUGGGGAGCGAACAGG
rnacentral:rRNA from 1 species